AAUUGCCAUCCUAGAAAAAUGAAAUAUGGAGAAACCACAGGAUUUAACUCCUCUGUGAAGCAUCAAGUGUGUAAGAGGCAGCUCUCAGGAUGAGGCCUUCAUUUCAUUCUGUGAACACCCUCUUGGCAUGCACCUAUGAAAGCAGAGCAGAGGAUGUAUCAACCUUGUCAGGAGGAACUGCUUUGUUCCAAUCCUCGCCAACCUCUUACAAUCCAUCUGUCACCCUUCUGGAAUGAUCCUUAAGCCUUAAGGAGUGGGUGUGGCAUAGAUGUCCCAUUUAUAGCUGAGCAGUCUACGGUCAUUUAUUCUCAUGCUUUGACUUAGUUGUGAAAUUCUACACCAGUCGCCAUCCACUGCACAAAGAAGCUGCAAUGACUCCAUUUGAAGUGACCAAUCAAACACGUGUCACAGAAUUCAUCUUCCUGGGAUUCUCCAACCACUCCAGCCUACGGGGCUUCUUCUUCCUGGUCUUCCUGGCCAUUUACCUGACAACUC
rnacentral:lncRNA from 1 species